UACGUAGGGGGCUAGCGUUGUCCGGAAUCAUUGGGCGUAAAGAGCGUGUAGGCGGCCCGGUAAGUCCGCUGUGAAAGUCGGGGGCUCAACCCUCGAAUGCCGGUGGAUACUGUCGGGCUAGAGUGCGGAAGAGGCGAGUGGAAUUCCCGGUGUAGCGGUGAAAUGCGCAGAUAUCGGGAGGAACACCAAUGGCGAAGGCAGCUUGCUGGGACGGUACUGACGCUGAGACGCGAAAGCGUGGGGAGCAAACAGG
rnacentral:rRNA from 1 species